GCUGGGUGUGGUGGUGUACACCUGUGGUCCUAGCUACUCAGGAGGCUGAGGCAGGAGGAUUGCUUGAGCCCAGGAGGUUGAGGCUGCAGUCAGCUGUGAUCACACCACUGCACUUCAGCUUGGGCAACACAGUGAGACCCUGUCUCAG
rfam:Homo sapiens chromosome 8, GRCh38 reference primary assembly.